rnacentral:rRNA from 1 species
AAGAGACAGCAGCAGCCGCGGGAAUACGGAGGGAGUUAGCGUUGUUCGGAAUUACUGGGCGUAAAGCGCACGUAGGCGGCUUUGUAAGUCAGAGGUGAAAGCCUGGAGCUCAACUCCAGAACUGCCUUUGAGACUGCAUCGCUUGAAUUCAGGAGAGGUGAGUGGAAUUCCGAGUGUAGAGGUGAAAUUCGUAGAUAUUCGGAAGAACACCAGUGGCGAAGGCGGCUCACUGGACUGGUAUUGACGCUGAGGUGCGAAAGCGUGGGGAGCAAACAGGAUUAGAACCCCGGUAGUCCCUGUCUCUUAUACC